UGGUGUCCCUACUUGCUAAAAAAUAGAUCCA
rnacentral:piRNA from 1 species